CACGUAGUUAGCCGGUGCUUCUUUACCCAUUACCGUCACUCACGCUUCGUCACAGGCGAAAGCGGUUUACAACCCGAAGGCCGUCAUCCCGCACGCGGUGUUGCUGCAUCAGGCUUCCGCCCAUUGUGCAAUAUUCCCCACUGCUGCCUCCCGUAGGAGUCUGGGCCGUAUCUCAGUCCCAAUGUGGCCGGUCACCCUCUCAGGCCGGCUACCCGUCAAAGCCUUGGUAAGCCACUACCCCACCAACAAGCUGAUAAGCCGCGAGUCCAUCCCCAACCGCCGAAACUUUCCAACCCCCACCAUGCAGCAGGAGCUCCUAUCCGGUAUUAGCCCCAGUUUCCUGAAGUUAUCCCAAAGUCAAGGGCAGGUUACUCACGUGUUACUCACCCGUUCGCCACUCGAGCACCCCACAAAAGCAGGGCCUUUCCGUUCGACUUGCAUGUGUUAAGCACGCCGCCAGCGUUCGUCCUGAGCCAGGAUCAAACUCU
rnacentral:rRNA from 1 species